rnacentral:rRNA from 1 species
AUUGGCCGGAAAAUCGAGGAAGGGCUUCCCUGGACAGGGGCCNUCCGGCCGCGCAGUUCGCGGUAGAGCAGACGCAUUUGGCUCUCGUCCGAAGGACGCUGCAGCCGGCGGGGCAGUGCAAACGUGACGGCCUGAAGGUCGGGAAAUGGCAGGUGGCCGGUGGCGCGCCGAGUGCGCGUCGCCGGUUGUUAGCCGUCCCGUCAGUGGCCCGUCGCCCCGCCGAGGUGUCGCAAGGCCCCCUCACGGGCCCCCUCCGUCUCCUUCAGAAGGAAGCGGGCGAGAUCGUCGCUGGAGAAGGCCGCCGACCUGUCGCACUCUUCGGGAGUGGACGGUCGUCGAGUUCGGCGCCGCAGGCGACGGCGAGGCCCGCCGGAGAUCGGAGGCUCGCAGCGAGUAGGUCGGUCACCCACCCGACCCGUCUUGAAACACGGACCAAGGAGUCUAACAUGUGCGCGAGUCAAUGGGUCUUGAACAGGCCCAGGGGCGCAAUGAAAGCAAAGGCCCGCUGAACGCGGGCCGAGUCGGGAUCCCCGCCCAGAGCGGGGCGCACCGACGACCCGUCCCGUCCGGCUCGCCGGUGGGGCGGAGUGUGAGCGCACACGUUGGGACCCGAAAGAUGGUGAA